CUAGCCAUUCCUUUGUGUCGA
rnacentral:siRNA from 1 species